rnacentral:rRNA from 1 species
AUUGAACGCUGGCGGCAUGCCUAACACAUGCAAGUCGAACGGAGGUAGGGGCAACUCUACUUCAGUGGCGGACGGGUGAGGAAUGCAUCGGAAUCUACCCUAGGGUGGGGGAUAACACAGGGAAACUUGUGCUAAUACCGCAUGAUGUCGAGAGACCAAAGCGGGGGACCGAAAGGCCUCGCGCGCUAGGAUGAGCCGAUGCCCGAUUAGCUAGUUGGUAGGGUAAUGGCCUACCAAGGCGACGAUCGGUAGCUGGUCUGAGAGGAUGAUCAGCCACACUGGGACUGAGACACGGCCCAGACUCCUACGGGAGGCAGCAGUGGGGAAUAUUGGACAAUGGGCGCAAGCCUGAUCCAGCAAUGCCGCGUGUGUGAAGAAGGCCUGCGGGUUGUAAAGCACUUUUGUUCGGGAAGAAAACGCGCCGACUAAUACUUGGUGUGGAUGACGGUACCGAAAGAAUAAGCACCGGCUAACUUCGUGCCAGC